rnacentral:lncRNA from 1 species
AUUUUAAAUUAUAUAAAUAUCCUGUUGCAAAUAAGCUUCCUGUGUAUUAGUAUGAGUAAUUAUAGCCCAAAUAAAUACAAGUUCAACUGUGGCUACAUCUUUGCUCUUAAGCUCAAGAGCGUGCUUUAAGUUCAAUAAAAUAAUAUCAUUGUUCAUAUUAAUGUUAUUAAGGUAAACUUAUUCAUUUUGUGACCCUGCAUUUCCUUCAAUAUUUGUUCUAAAACUGUUUUGUAUGAGAGUAUAAGCAUAACCAUAAAAACCUGGUUGGGUAAUAUAAUAAAAAUAAUGUGGCAACAAUAAGAGGGAACAAGAUUUUGACGUUCCUUUAAAAGUUUCUGUAUAUUUUACUUAAGUAUAAAGAAAAUUGUUAUGAAUGAUAGGAGGAAGGAUUUUUGUCCACCUAUUAAAAAAAAACUGCUGUGAAGCAUAGGAAGUUUCAAGCAUAAAAUCAAGCAGUAGAUAAAUGUUCUUUGAACUUAUGAAUUUCAAAUUAUAAAUUUCAACCAUGCUAUUAAAGAUAUUCAACACAGUGGAUAUUCCUUUUGCUUUCAAAUUUAUCUAAAUAUAUGAGACAGGCAAAAGCUCAAUGCAAAAGGCAUGACUUUAUAAAAUGGAUCCAUUUUGCCAAUAGCUCAAAGAAUUAUGGUAAUAUUGUGGGAACUGAGUGAAAAUUCAGAGUAGGUUUUGAAAUGUGAUACAAGUAGAAUUUUAAAAAGAAAAAAGAAAAAAAUUUCUGUAUUUAGCUAAAAUCAUAACUGUUUCCUUUGCAAACUGACAUAAAAAUGAAGAAGCAAAAUGUGUCUUUAGUUAUAUCCAAGUUCCAAAUUCAAGUUAAUUACUGCUGCUCCUCACUCUUCUACCUUUUCCUUCAAAUUUAAAGAUGGGCUUUGCAGAGAUUAAAGCUUCAGAAAAAAAUAUGGGAAAAUAUGUUAAAAUGUUGACCUGAAAAUGAAGUGGAUGACUAUAAAACUCUUGAGAGAAUUAGACUUUUUGUAGCAGUUUAUUACAUGAUAAUACCUUAAAGGAGAUCACAUUCAGUGACCUGCGUUGACAGGUAAUAUUUAAAAUUAAGUAUUAAUGCUGAUUAAUUCAGGCAGAUGGGUGGUAGCCUAAAGUAUAGACAUUUUUCCAAUAUUAAUUUUGAUAUUAAAUAAAUGACAUCGGCUCUUGUUGGAUAUUGUAAAAUUUCCUUUACUUCAACUGUAAAAUAAUUUCAACAGUGAAAGGUAUAAAGUAAGAUGAAAAUUUCCAUCAUGAUCUUACCUAGAGAUAACUUCUCUUUUUUUGAGUCGGAGUAUCGCUCUCGUUGCCUAGGCUGGAGUGCAGUGGCGUGAUCUCGGCUCACUGCAACCUCCACCUCUCGGGUUCAAGCAAUUCUCCUGCCUCAGCCUCCAGAGCAGCUGGAACUACAAGGCGCAUGCCACCAUGCCAGGCUAAUUUUUGUAGUUUUGAUAGAGACAGGGUUUCACCAUGUUGGUCAGGCUGGUCUCAAACCCCUUACCUCAAAUAAUCCGCCCGCCUCAGCCUCCCAAAGGGCUGGGAUUAUCGGCAUGAGCCACUGCGCCCUGCCUUCUUUGUUAAUUUUAUAUGUUUCGGUUAUGUAAAUAUAUAACUGAAAGGGUAAAUAUAUAUAAAUACAUAUUUACUGCACAUUUAUAUUGAUAUAUAUUUCUCUGCUUGUAUCUAUCUAUAUACACACUUUAUAAAUAAAUGAGUCAAGAUUUUUAAAACAAAAUACCAAAUUUUUCAGUAUCAUUUGAAAUUUUUCAAAAUUACUUUUUUAAAAUUUCUGCAUAUUCAUUCAGUGAAGUUGAAUGAUCCAGUGGGCACUCUGUAUUCCUUCAUAAACUGUGUGGUGAAUGUGCGUGUGUGUAUGUAUGUAUAUGCACGUGUUUAUGUGUUUUCUGGGGUUAAUUUCCUUAAAAUAAAAAGGCAACUGUCAAGACUAAAGCUAUAAUAAUUUUUAUGAAUCUUAGAAAAUGUUGAAUUUUUAGUGAUUCCAGAAAUUGAUCUCUAUCGAUGAAACUGCUUUCUCAAAUACGUCAGCAAUGGGAUUCAGGCUUUGCUUACAAUGUGAAGGAAGUUCUUAGUCUCAUUUGCACAAAGAAGGAAGGAGGGCUAAAGAUAAAAAGAACUCAUAGUCUUUUCCAUAGUUUUGGGUCAUGUUCACUGUAAAAAAAAAUCACAAGAUGCCAUUUUUACACAGCCUUUUUAAUCUACACAUACGACAAGCUAAUAAUUCCAAAAAAAUAAUUUCUUUCCUUUGUAGCCAUUUAAAACUAACAGCUAGAAAUAUUUCUUCUUCCAAUUAUUAAAAAUAAGCUGUUUCUGAGUCGGUGCUGACUACAUUUACUGAUUGAAGCAGCCAACUCCAAAUAUACCAUCUUUUAGUAUUGACACUUAAAAUAAAACUUCUCCCCAGAAAAAGAGUUCUAUAAAUGAUGGCUGUAGAAAUAGGCACUGUCCAGGCAGUUGUUUUGUGGAAGUAGUGUUGUUAUUUUCUGGUGUUUUCCAAGUCAUCUCAGAUGGUGCGUGAAAAUGAGAUGCCAAAGAAGGCUUAAAAAAGAUACCCUGCACCAGCUUCAGAAUGUAAGCAAAUCUUUCAUUCCAGCGCUUAAAAGUUUUGAGAAAGCUAAUCUAAAGUUAAAUGUUUACUAGCAUCUCUCCGAUUAUAUUUUAGAAACUACUGCACAAAAAUAAAACAAAUUUCUUAUUUUCUCUGGGUUGAAAAGUGCACAUAAAAUGGAAAAUGCUUUUUAUACCACUAUUUCCAGCAGGGAUUUUAUUUUCAUUUGUCAUUUGCCAGCCUGGGGUAUGUUGGGAGAAGGAACAAUUGAUUUUUGAAAAGGUGCAUUUGUGUGAAAACCAAAAAUUGUGUUCAACAAAUACUACUACUAACCCAUAUGUGGAUAUAUGUGUUUUAUACAUGAGUAAAAAAAAAAAAAAAACAUACAUAUAUGUAUGGCAUAUAUAUAUAUAUAUAUAUAUAUAUAUAUAUAUAUAUAUAUAUGCUAUAGAAAUGCCAUCAAGUUACCAGUUUACUUCUAAAUGUAACUGCUUAAUAUAAAAUAUGCAUCUUUUUGUAGUACCUAAUUCUUGCAAUUCAGUGUAUUUCCUGGCGAGAGGCAGAGAUGAACAACCCUGGACAGUUACCACAUAUGGCUCUUAUGAGUAUAGACAAAAUGACCUACGAAUCAAGCAUUUUGUUCCACGGUCUCUACUGUUAGCUGUAUGUCUCAGAAACAGCUUCUUUCUCAAGAGAGAACAAGAGGGAUAAUGCUGGAUCUAAAGGCAUCAUCUGAAGAAGACAAAGAUAUCAACAAUCGCAACUAUUUGGCUUUCUGUCCAUCACUGAGACUUUUCAUAAUCUUCCCUUCAUAAAUAGGAUCUCUUGAUCAGAACAGAAAAGUUGAGUCUUAAAUUUCCUGUAUUUAUUUCUGACUGAUACUGAGGGAAGUGCAAAUUUGGUUGCUAUGAUUAAACUCCUUGAUUGUUCUUAAUGGGACUCUUUUAAUAAGUCAAACAUUUUUGCAUCUAAGUAUAUUGAUGAGCGCCACUUUAUCUCAAAUGUUUACACAUACUAGGGAAAAGCAUCUGCAGUUUCUGAACUCUUUGUGAAUCAGUAUCACUUUUUCAUGUUACUUCAGAGAUCAAUAUUCAGUGCAUUGGUUUUAUUUACCAUCUUUUCUCCCAGUUGAUCUUGUAAUCAUCAGAAAGGGAAAAAAAAAUCUCCUUCACAAAGCCCUUUGCGACAAACUUAUGU